GAGUAUUUUGACAACAUGGGGAAUUUCGUAAACCAACAUAAAGUAACGUGAUGGUUUCCCAUAUAGUAGGUCACAAGAACAAAUAAAGUAUCCAUGUUUGGUUUCAAUACUCUCGUUUGAAUGAAUAUAGAGAAGAGUAUUUAAAAAAAACCCAGCAUGAACAUUUACCUGUGAUCAACUCAGAACUUGAAUCCUUGAAAGAUAAAUCGAUUUUAUAAUAUUCAACCAAGGCAAUAGUUCCAACUCCUCAUUAUUAUAUAAGUAAGAGAACAUGCCUUUUCUUUAAAGAUGCAUAAGAGGAUUUUAGAAAAUGUAGUUUUCGUGCGAAGAAUUUCCAUCAGCAACGACACCUGUCUAAGUCAUACAUCAGUAUACUGUUUUGACCAAUAUUUAAAUACACUCUCCCGAAACCUAGAGUUAACUGAAUGACCAUGGAAGCUUUGUAUUACUAUUUUAUAAAAAUGGUUGUUUGUAUGUAUAAAUAUUUAGAACAAACUAUACAGGUAUAUGUUGUCAUAUUUUUUUUCGCUACUUCUCUCUUCCUCAAGAGAUAAAUAUUU